rnacentral:tRNA from 1 species
GGUUUGUGGCUCAGUGGUAGAGCGCUCACCUAGCACACUGCAAGGCCCUGGGUUUGAUCCUCAGCACCA